GACGAACGCUGGCGGCGUGCUUAACACAUGCAAGUCGUACGGUAAGGCCCUUUCGGGGGUACACGAGUGGCGCACGGGUGAGUAACACGUGAGUAACCUGCCCACAACUUUGGGAUAACGCUAGGAAACUGGUGCUAAUACUGGAUAUGUGCUCCUGCUGCAUGGUGGGGGUUGGAAAGCUCCGGCGGUUGUGGAUGGACUCGCGGCCUAUCAGCUUGUUGGUGGGGUAGUGGCCUACCAAGGCGGCGACGGGUAGCCGGCCUGAGAGGGUGACCGGCCACAUUGGGACUGAGAUACGGCCCAGACUCCUACGGGAGGCAGCAGGGGGGAAUAUUGCACAAUGGGCGCAAGCCUGAUGCAACAACGCCGCGUGCGGGAUGACGGCCUUCGGGUUGUAAACCGCUUUCAGCAGGGACGAAGCUUUUUGUGACGGUACCUGCAGAAGAAGCACCGGCUAACUACGUG
rnacentral:rRNA from 1 species